UACGUAGGGUGCAAGCGUUGUCCGGAAUUCUUGGGCGUAAAGAGCUCGUAGGCGGUCUGUCGCGUCGAAUGUGAAAACCCGGGGCUCAACCCCGGGCCUGCAUUCGAUACGGGCAGACUAGAGUUCGGUAGGGGAGUCUGGAAUUCCUGGUGUAGCGGUGAAAUGCGCAGAUAUCAGGAGGAACACCGGUGGCGAAGGCGGGACUCUGGGCCGAUACUGACGCUGAGGAGCGAAAGCGUGGGGAGCAAACAGG
rnacentral:rRNA from 1 species